GGACUUGUCGGUUGGUCGGGCUUCACUGUCCGCACUGACCUGAUGGAUUCCUACCUUCCGAACAACCAGCAUGCUAUUAAGUUAGUGCGUUGGGGAAGCAGAGCUAUUACCUUGAAAAAAUUGGAGUGCUUAAAGCAAGCUUGUGCUUGAAUAGAUUAGCAUGGAAUAAUAAAAUAGGACGGCAUGGUUCUAUUUUGUUGGUUUCUAGGAUCACCGUA
rnacentral:rRNA from 1 species